rnacentral:rRNA from 1 species
GACGAACGCUGGCGGCGUGCCUAAUACAUGCAAGUAGAACGCACAGUUUAUACCGUAGCUUGCUACACCAUAGACUGUGAGUUGCGAACGGGUGAGUAACGCGUAGGUAACCUGCCUGGUAGCGGGGGAUAACUAUUGGAAACGAUAGCUAAUACCGCAUAAUAUUGAUUAUUGCAUGAUAAUUGAUUGAAAGAUGCUAUUGCAUCACUACCAGAUGGACCUGCGUUGUAUUAGCUAGUAGGUGAGGUAACGGCUCACCUAGGCGACGAUACAUAGCCGACCUGAGAGGGUGAUCGGCCACGCUGGGACUGAGACACGGCCCAGACUCCUACGGGAGGCAGCAGUAGGGAAUCUUCGGCAAUGGACGAAAGUCUGACCGAGCAACGCCGCGUGAGUGAAGAAGGUUUUCGGAUCGUAAAGCUCUGUUGUAAGAGAAGAACGGGUGUGAGAGUGGAAAGUUCACACUGUGACGGUAUCUUACCAGAAAGGGACGGCUAACUACGUG